rnacentral:rRNA from 1 species
GACGUAGGGCGCGAGCGUUGUCCGGAUUUAUUGGGCGUAAAGAGCUCGUAGGCGGCUUGUCGCGUCGACUGUGAAAACCCGCGGCUCAACCGCGGGCCUGCAGCCGAUACGGGCAGGCUAGAGUUCGGUAGGGGAGACUGGAAUUCCUGGUGUAGCGGUGAAAUGCGCAGAUAUCGUAAGGAAGACCAGUGGCGAAGGCGAGUCUCUGAACAGUUACCGACGCUGAGGCACGAAGGUCAGGGGAGCAAACGGG